rnacentral:rRNA from 1 species
UACGUAGGGAGCGAGCGUUGUCCGGAUUUAUUGGGCGUAAAGAGCUCGUAGGCGGCUUGUCGCGUCGUCCGUGAAAACUUGGGGCUCAACCCCAAGCUUGCGGUCGAUACGGGCAGGCUAGAGUCCGGUAGGGGAGACUGGAAUUCCUGGUGUAGCGGUGAAAAUGCGCAGAUAUCAGGAGGAACACCGGUGGCGAAGGCGGGUCUCUGGGCCGAUACUGACGCUGAGGAGCGAAAGCGUGGGGAGCGAACAGG